rnacentral:lncRNA from 1 species
UGUUCCUGCAGGCAUCCAGGAAUGAGGAAGUGGCCUCGCCAGUAUGAAUGGUUCUUCAUGAAGAUGUGGGUAGAACACAUCUGGCUUCAGAAAUGGUAUGGAGGCAUAUCUGACAUCCCAAAGGAGGAAUACUUCAAAGCAGCCCCAAGAAAGGCCUGAUAGUAACACACAAGUCCCGGGGCUUGCUUUAAGAUGAAGACCUUCGAAGGGCAGAAGCCAGACAGUCUCUGACUGCCAUCUCUUUGUUUGAAGAGUACCCAGCUGCCCUGUCAUCCUACAGCAGAAUGAGAAAGGAUGAACAGGGAGCCCUGGGCUAGCGUUGAGAUCCAUCGGAGUGGUCCUUUGCUGAUCCAUCAUCCACAUAGAAACGUUUCUGUUCACUCUGUACUCAAUCCAGAAGCUCCCAUUUGGAAAUCGUGGUUGUCAAAAAUGGAAGUGGUAGUUGCUAUUCUGUUCUUUAAAAAAAUGAUGCCUGUAUAUAGCAUGUCAUUGCCUUGUAUCGUGAGAACAUUGUGUUGCUUACCACGCAAAAGCCGUGCCUUGGAUGGCAGUCCAUUGCUUAACAAGAGCUGAAUGCAUGCAUCACGCUGUGGCUGUGGGUUCAGGGUAAGGUGGAAGGCUUUCGGUCGGAAGGUUAUUCACUAUGUCACUAAAUUGCUGAUGUAUUUUCUAGAA